rnacentral:rRNA from 1 species
CAUGCAAGUCGAACGAACCGAGGGGCUGUUGAUCGGGUUUCGGAAGGGUUCGUCCCGGAAGAGCCCGUGAGGUUCCUUGGUUAGUGGCGAACGGGUGAGUAACACGUAGGUGACCUGCCCCGAAGUGGGGGAUAACUGCCCGAAAGAGCAGCUAAUACCGCAUGUGGUUCAGCAGUCGUAUGCUGAACCAAAGGAGCAAUCCGCUUUGGGAGGGGCCCGCGGCCCAUCAGCUAGUUGGUAGGGUAAUGGCCUACCAAGGCGAUGACGGGUAGCUGGUCUGAGAGGACGAUCAGCCACACUGGCACUGAGACACGGGCCAGACUCCUACGGGAGGCAGCAGUGAGGGAUAUUGCGCAAUGGGCGAAAGCUUGACGCAGCGACGCCGCGUGGGCGACGAAGGUCUUCGGAUCGUAAAGCCCUUUUCCGGAGGAAGAGGAAGGACGG